CCUACGGGAGGCAGCAGUGGGGAAUAUUGCACAAUGGGCGCAAGCCUGAUGCAGCCAUGCCGCGUGUGUGAAGAAGGCCUUCGGGUUGUAAAGCACUUUCAGCGGGGAGGAAGGCGUUAAGGUUAAUAACCUUGGCGAUUGACGUUACCCGCAGAAGAAGCACCGGCUAACUCCGUGCCAGCAGCCGCGGUAAUACGGAGGGUGCAAGCGUUAAUCGGAAUUACUGGGCGUAAAGCGCACGCAGGCGGUCUGUCAAGUCGGAUGUGAAAUCCCCGGGCUCAACCUGGGAACUGCAUUCGAAACUGGCAGGCUAGAGUCUUGUAGAGGGGGGUAGAAUUCCAGGUGUAGCGGUGAACUGCGUAGAGAUCUGGAGGAAUACCGGUGGCGAAGGCGGCCCCCUGGACAAAGACUGACGCUCAGGUGCGAAAGCGUGGGGAGCAAACAGGAUUAGAUACCCGAGUAGUC
rnacentral:rRNA from 1 species